GCCUGGGUGGCUCAGUCGGUUGAGCGUCUGACUUCGGCUCAGGUCACGAUCUCGCGGUUCGUGGGCUCGAGCCCCGUGUCGGGCU
rfam:Felis catus isolate Cinnamon breed Abyssinian chromosome E2, whole genome shotgun sequence.